ensembl:lncRNA
GGGCUCUGGAGAGGGCCAGACGGUAGAGUAAUACUUCCACCAGCCAUGCGAGGAGAUACAUUUGCAGAAGCUCAUGGGUUGGGCCAUGUAGGGCCGGCUCAAAUGUUAAGAAACUUGUGCCACUGGUGGCACCUGUUUAUGGUAGACAUGGUACGCAACUACAUUAGGACAUGCACCAUCUGUACUCACUACAAUCCAAAACCAACGAUUAAACCUGAGAUGGGGACGUUCCCCAUGACGAUGAGACCUGGACAAGAGAUAGUGAUAGACUACAUGGACAUGAGGGAAACAGUACGGGGGUGCCGUUACAUGUUGGUGUGUGUGGACAUGUUCACAGGGUGGCCAGAAGCCUGGCCGGUAAGAAGGGAGGACAGUCAGACAGUGAUCAAGUGUUUAGUGAACCAGUACAUUCCCAGACUCGGCUUCCCAGAGAAAAUCAGGUCAGACAAUGGGACUCACUUUAAGAACAGUGAUUUACAGAAGGUAGAGAGCUUAUUGGGCCUAAAACAUGCUUUUGGCACUGUAUACCACCCACAGUCCCAGGGAAAGGUAGAAAGGAUUAACCAAAAUUAAAAAAACAAGUUGGCUAAGAUAUGUGCACAGACUAAAUUGAACUGGGUAGAUGCACUGCCACUCAUGACAAUUCGAUGCUCGUUAAAUCAGACCACUGGGUUCACCCCAUACGAGCUGCUGAAGGGGAGACAGUUUCAAGGACCAGCCUCAGGGCCUGCGGUCCCGGAAGGGGAAAAGUGGCCCAAAGAUCACAGAGUGUAUUUUGAUGAAUUGCGAGCUCUCGUUUCAGAAUUCACCAACAGAGUCGGAGAAUGGUGGAACCUGCACCCGCUGGACCAGAACCUGCCCCAGGCGGAGUGGGUGCUGCUGAAGGUCAUCAAACGAAAGUGGUCGGAGCCAAGGUGGACGGGUCCUCAUCAGGUGGUGGAGAGAACGAGCCAUGCGGUCCGCCUGAGGGACAAAGGAGAGACGUGGUACUAUUGGAGCCAGUGUACACCAGCGCAGGAGCCAGGGAGAUCACUGACGGACCUCAUCCAAACUGGGAAGGUGGAGCUUGCCCCAGUGGGGACGGAAGGAGGACCAAAACCAGCCGGACCGGUGCCCGGAGCGGACCCCAGGAUACUGCGGGACUACGAGCGAGAGAAGGAAACAAAGGACGGCGCCAGGGGAAUAGACUUUUAGGGGAAGGAACCGAAAGAAUACUGUAACAAAAGGGGGUUUAGGACACCGAGUGGCUCCUACCACUCGUACCAAGAUGACAGGGUUACAGAGAAAGGUCUGGGGAGAUGAUAGUAGAAUGAAGUGGUACAUGGGCAUUGGUCGAAUAAUGAUAUGUGUGUUAUAUGUUGCUACAGGUUUCCUCGGUUGGCAUCGGGUCUCCACUUCCCCAGCGAGAAGGCAUGUGACACAAAAAAAGGACCCCUGCCUGAAGAAGGGAGGGGGUAUCGAAUUGGAUUAUAUCAAAGGGUCACAUACUGCUUUCACGUUUGAUUUAUGCUCGGUCAUAGCUUGCGGGAGAUAUAAUGGCUCGUAGAGGAAUUACGAUCUGUAUGUGUGUCACACUCCAUUGGUAGAUGCGGCAUGUGCCAUGUGGGGACGUCCGCCGGUUGAUGGGUGGUGCCCGGGAUGGGACAAGGUCCGAGCGUAUACUGGACAGUGACAGCCUGGACUCCCGCGGGGACCAAAUGCCACCAUGUGGAACUCGUUUAAGUUCCAACGAGAUUUCAGCCCCUCCCAGAACCCACCCACCCUUUCUAUCGGAGGUUGGGACCGCUCUCCUUACCGAGUAGCGGACAAAAUAUAUUUGGUUCUCGGAGUGGAACAUUCAGGAACAGACACCAGAGCGUUCAGCAGAUGACUACAAGGACCUUGUUGCAAAACGAGACAAGUUCAUUAAUAAAGAAGAUAUCUAUACAGAGCAGCUAAAGCGAUCAAUCAAAAUGAAGAAAAGGUAAACAGCCCGGUGCCUACCAAAGAUGCAACAAUGGCAAUGAUGGAAGAAUUUAAGAAAGAACUUAAAAAGAAGUCUCCUGCAACCCAGACACAGGAGGACACAGGAGGAUAAUUUCAGUCCUUCCCUGAUGUCAACUCAAAAGCGACAAGAAAGGGAUUCAUCUGAAGACGAAUCCGAUGAAUCAGCCAUGGCCCUGAAAAAGACCCGUUCAGGAUUGGAUAAGCGAACCAUAACUGCAUUAAAAGGUACAAUAUGUGUAGGAG